AACGGCGAGUGAAGCGGCAAAAGCUCAAAUUUGAAAUCUGGCUCCUUCGGGGUCCGAGUUGUAAUUUGUAGAGGAUGCUUCGGGUGCGGCCACGGCCUAAGUUCCUUGGAACAGGACGUCAUAGAGGGUGAGAAUCCCGUCUUGGGUCGUUGGUCCACGCCCGUGUGAAGCUCCUUCGACGAGUCGAGUUGUUUGGGAAUGCAGCUCUAAGCGGGUGGUAAAUUUCAUCUAAAGCUAAAUAUUGGCCGGAGACCGAUAGCGCACAAGUAGAGUGAUCGAAAGGUUAAAAGCACCUUGAAAAGGGAGUUAAACAGCACGUGAAAUUGUUGAAAGGGAAGCGCUUGCGGCCAGACUCGGGCGCGAGGUUCAGCGGGUGCGUGUCACCCGUGCACUCCUCGCCGCCCGGGCCAGCAUCAGUUCUGACGGCCGGUCAAAGGCCCCCGGAAUGUGUCGUCUCUCGGGACGUCUUAUAGCCGGGGGUGCAAUGCGGCCCGUCGGGACUGAGGAACGCGCUUCGGCUCGGAUGCUGGCGUAAUGGCCGUAAGCGGCCCGUCUUGAAACACGGACCAAGGAGUCUAACAUCCACGCGAGUGUUCGGGUGUCAAACCCGUGCGCGCAGUGAAAGCGAACGGAGGUGGGAGCCUUAGGGCGCACCAUCGACCGAUCCUGAAGUCUUCGGAUGGAUUUGAGUAGGAGCGUGGCCGUUGGGACCCGAAAGAUGGUGAACUAUGCCUGAAUAGGGUGAAGCCAGAGGAAACUCUGGUGGAGGCUCGCAGCGGUUCUGACGUGCAAAUCGAUCGUCAAAUUU
rnacentral:rRNA from 1 species